AGUCCCCGCCACCAAUCUCAAAACAUCAUACUCUUGAUUGAAUUGCUUUUAAAAUAUAUUAUUACUUUACAAAUUUGAAUUUCUAAUACAAAUAUUUUUUAAGAAUUUAACCUUUCGAUUGAAACCAAAAAGGAUCAAAAGAGUUGGAAAAUAGAAAAAGAUUGAAAAUGGGUUUGGAUUAUUACAAGAUACUGAAAGUAAGUAGCAAUGUAAACGAUGAAGAUUUGAAAAAAGCAUAUAAAAGAUUGGCUAUGAAAUGGCAUCCUGAUAAGAACCCAUUAAAUAAUGAAGAUGCUGAAGCUAAAUUCAAGCAAAUCGUUGAAGCCUACGAGGUUCUAAGUGAUCCUCAGAAAAGAGCAGUGUAUGACCGGUACGGUGAAGAGGGUUUAAAAGGUGUGGCGCCACCGCCGGCAUCAGGCGGAGCUUCCUUUUUUUCCACCGGAUAUGGAAUCCCGACUACGUUCCAGUUCAAUCAACAGAAUGUUGCUGAUGAAAUAUUUAGUGAGUUCUUUGGUGCUUUUGGUGGUGGUCUGAGAGGUACAAGAUUCUCUAGUUCACUUUUCGGCAAUGACAUAUUUGGCGGCGGCGGUGGCGGCAGGGGAGGCGUACGGUUCUCUGGUUCAGUUUUUGGUGAUGAUAUUUUUGGAUCAACGAACCAAGGUGCACUAAGAAAAGCUGCUCCAAUGGAGAAUUGGUUGCCUUGUAGUCUUGAAGAGCUAUAUAAAGGGACUACUAAGAAGAUGAAAAUCUCUAGAGAGAUUGUUCAUAUCAGUGGGUAAAUAAAAAUCUUUUUGUUUUCUCAAUUUGAUCCCCGAUUUUUGUUUAUUUUCCAAUUAAGGGAUUCCCGACUUUUUCGGGAGAAGUUGAUGAAAUGUCAUAGAUCCCUCAACAAAGUCCUCUAUUGUUUAUUAGUCCAUUCUUUCAUUGUUAGAUUAGGUCAUAUGUUCUCUGGUAAAAUUACCAUGAAGGUCCUUGUAUUAGGUGUUAGAUUACAUUUUGCACAAACUGAUCCUUUUUAUUAAAAUUUCGUCUAUUUUUACAGUUAAAAACUGAUGUGGUUGACAGCAUAAUUAAGCAUUUUGCUCUUUGAUCCAAAGAACUAAGACAAAUCUGUCCAUUUUUUUAUUAGAGGCAAAAUGUAAUUCGACUCCUAAUAUAAAGGCCUCAUUGUGCUUUUACUUAUAUUCUCCUUAGUUUAUCUGUCUGUCCUUCCUCGACAUCGAGUUUGUGGAGAACAUGUGUAGGUUACAUAGAUAUGUCGGAAUGUAGGAUGACGGUUGUGCACAUCGGUUCUUAUUGAGGUUCCUUUGAUAGUUAGGGAGAUCGUUUUCGUAGUUUGUUUAAGUUUGUGCAGCCAAGUCUCUUCGAGGGAUUCGGACUAUCAAUUCUGUAGUCCGUAGGUGGAAGAGAUUUUAACCAUCAAUGUGAGGCCUGGAUGGAAG